AUACGGAGGAUGCAAGCGUUGUCCGGAUUUAUUGGGUUUAAAGGGUGCGUAGGCGGCCCGUUAAGUCAGUGGUGAAAGGUAUCAGCUCAACUGAUGAAGUGCCAUUGAAACUAACGGGCUUGAGUACAGACGAGGUAGGCGGAAUUUAUGGUGUAGCGGUGAAAUGCAUAGAUACCAUAAAGAACACCGAUAGCGAAGGCAGCUUACUAGACUGUCACUGACGCUGAGGCACGAAAGCGUGGGGAGCAAACAGGAUUAGAUACCCCCGGUAGUCC
rnacentral:rRNA from 1 species